rnacentral:rRNA from 1 species
AACGAACGCUGGCGGCAUGCCUAACACAUGCAAGUCGAACGAAGCCUUCGGGCUUAGUGGCGCACGGGUGCGUAACACGUGGGAAUCUGCCCUUAGGUACGGAAUAACAGUUAGAAAUGACUGCUAAUACCGUAUGAUGACUCCGGUCCAAAGAUUUAUCGCCUAAGGAUGAGCCCGCGUCGGAUUAGCUAGUUGGUGAGGUAAAGGCUCACCAAGGCGACGAUCCGUAGCUGGUCUGAGAGGAUGAUCAGCCACACUGGGACUGAGACACGGCCCAGACUCCUACGGGAGGCAGCAGUGGGGAAUAUUGGACAAUGGGCGAAAGCCUGAUCCAGCAAUGCCGCGUGAGUGAAGAAGGCCUUAGGGUUGUAAAGCUCUUUUACCCGGGAUGAUAAUGACAGUACCGGGAGAAUAAGCUCCGGCUAACUCCGUG